GUCAGAAUGGCCGAGCGGUCCAAGGCGUUACGUUCAGGUUACAGUUCUGGAGGCGUGGGUUCAAAUCCCACUUCUGACA